CCACCGUGCCUGGCCACGUCAAUUUAUUCUUACACUUGAUCUGGACUUCAGUUUUACUAGCUUAUACACAAUUUAUCAAUUUCAGGAGUCUUAUUCCAUUUGUAAUAAAAUAUAAAACAAGAAUAUAUAUGUAUACAAAUGUAUAAUAUAGCUAUUACUAAAUUUAAAUGCUUUUUAUACGUAUGUAACUAUAGGCAGGUGAAAAAGUUUAAAAGCAUACAAAGCCCAGUAUAAAAGCAAUGCAUUAUACUUUUUCUUCCUUCUGUAAUGUUACACUUUUUUCUGGUUUAAAAAAAUUAUAUAACAUAUUUUAAGAUACAACAUUUUAAUCACUUAACAGUUUCAUUUAUAGUAAAGACUAUAGUGACCACUUCAGAACAUUCUGACUACAUAAUGUUUUCUCCUUGAGUUUUAAAAAAAACGCUUAAUUGUGGGGGGAUAAAAAAAAGCAUUUACCAUCUUAGCUAUUUUAAAGUGCACAGUUCACUAUUUUUAAGUAUAUUCACAUUGUUGUGCAACCAAUCUCCAGAACUUUUUCAUCUUGCAAAACUAAAAUUUUAUACCCAUUAAGCAUUUCCUCCUUCCCUAAUCUUUGGCAACUUCUAUUCUACUUUGUUUUUAUGAAUUUGACUACUCUGGAUAGAUAACUCAUAUAAGUGGAAUCAGACAGUACUUUUCUUUUUGUCACUGGAUUACUUCACUUAGUAUAAUGCCCUCAAGGUUCGUCCAUGUUGUAGCAUCUGCCAGAAUUUUUCUUUAAAACGUAAAUAUUCCACUGUACGUUUAUAUCACAUUUUGUUUAUCUAUUCAUCUAUUGAAGGACACUUGAGUUGCUUCCACCUUUUGGUUGCUGUUAAUAAUGCUGCUACAAACAUGAGUGUACAAAUAUCUCUUCAAGACCCUGCUUUCAAUUCUGUUGGUUAUAUGCCCACAAGUAGAACUGCUAGAUCAACAUGGUAACUCUAUUUUUAAUUUUUUGAGGAACUUCCAUACCGUUUUCCACAGCAGCUGCACUAUUUUACAUUCCCACCAACAGCGCAUAAGGGUUCCAAUUUCUCUACAUCCUCAUCAACACUUGUUGUUUUCUCUUUUUUUAACAGUACCCAUUCUAACCGGUAUGAGGGUAAUACUUCACUGUGGUUUUGACUUGCAUUUCCCUAAUGAUUAGUGAUGUUGAACAUCUUUUCAUAUGCUUGUUGUCCAUUUUUAUAUCUUCUUUGGAGAAAUUUCAAGCCCUUUGCCCAGUUUUUAAAAAGUUUUUAGAGACAGGGUAUCGCUAUGUUGCCCAGACUGGUCUUGAACUCCUGGCGUCUAAGUGACCCUCCCACCUAGGUCUCCCAAAAUGCUGGGAUUACAGGUAUGGCCACUGCAACUGGUCCUUUACCCAUUUUUAAAUUGGGCUAUUUUGUUGUUUUUGUUGAGUUAUAGGAGUUGUUUGUGUAUUCUGGGUAUUAAUCCCUUAUCAGAUAUAAGAUUUGCAAACAUUUUUCUCCCAUUCCAUAGGCUGCCUUUCAUUCUGUUACUGUUUGAUGCACAAAAGUUUUUAAUUUUGAUGUAUUCUAAUUUAUGUUUAAUUUAUGAUGUACAGUAAUUUAUGUUUAAUUGUUUUACUUUUGUUGCCUGUACUUUUGAUGUCAUGCCAAGAAACCACUGCAAAAUCCAAUGUCAUGAAGCCUUUCCUCCAUAUUCUUUAUCUUUUCUUUUUUCUUUUUUUUGAGACAUAGUUUCGUUCUUGUUGCCUAGGCUGGAGUGCAAUGGUGUGAUCUUGGCUCACUGCAACUUCUGCCUCCCGGGUUCAAGCGAUUCUCCUGCCUCCACCUCCCAAGUAGCUGGGAUUAUAGGCAUGCGCCACCAUGCCCAGCUAAUUUUUUUUUUUUUUUUUUUUUUUAGUAGAGACGGGGUUUCACCAUAUUGGUCAGGGCUGGUCUUGAAUUCCUAACCUCAGGUGAUCCGCCCGCCUCGGCCUCCCAAAGUGCUGGCAUUACAGGUGUGAGCCACUGUGCCCGGCCUUCCUCCAUAUUCUUAUGGGAAGGUUUCUAAUGCAAGGUUUAGAUCUUGCAUUUAGGUCUUUGAUCCAUUUUGAGUUAAUUUUUGCAGAUGGUGUAAGAUAAGGACCCAAUUUCAUUCUUUUACAUGUGGAUAUCUAGCUUUUCCAACACCAUUUGUUGAAAAGACUGUUCUUUCUCCCACUGAAUGGUCUUGGCACCCUUGUUGAAAAAUCACUACCUUUUAAAUGUACAUUUACAUUUGAAUAUGAGCAUCUUGAACACACUAUAGGAUGAAAGCUACACCAUAUCAUACAGAAAAAAAAUUACUUUUUCAUAUGGGAGUAGAAAAGAACAAGAAAGGUAAAUAUUUUAACUGUAAAAGAUUUCCUUUCAAAAUAUAAAAGCUGACAAACAAGGUUAAUCACUAAUAAGCUUCAGGUAAUAAAAAUGCAUCUGAUUCAUUCCUGCUUCACCUUCCUUGAGGGAUUCCUAGGACUCAGUACCAAUUUCUGAUCUCUAUUUUAACUACUUGCAUAUUCUGCUAAUUUUUAUGUUAAAAAUAAGAAAAACCUCAUAUAACAGAUAAUACAGAAAUCCUUUCUUCUUUUUAUACUAAAUAAAGCAAAUUAUUUUUCCUGUAUACCUUUUCCUCAUAUAUUUUAGGUUUUUUUGUUUUUGUUUUUUUGAGAUGGAAUCUUGCUCUGUCGCCCAGGCUGGAGUGCAAUGGCACAAUCUCGGCUUACUGCAACCUCCACUCCCAGGCUCAAGUGAUUCUCCUGCCUCAGCCUCCCCAGUAGCUGGGAUUAUAGGCAUGUGCCACCACACCAGCUAAUUUUUGUAUUUGUAGUAGAGACAGGGUUUCACUAUGUUGGCCAGGCUGGUCUUGAACUUCUAAACUCAGGUGAUCUGCCCGCCUCGGCCUCCCAAAGUGCCGGGAUUACAGGCAUGAGCCACCACGCCUGGCCUAGUUUUAUUUUAAAAUAGCUAUAAAAGGGCUCUAAUAAUCAUCCCUACUCCCUACCAAUAGUAACUAAUCAUGAAUUAAACAAAUUAAUUUAUGUAUUUUGUUUUGAGUCAGUGUCUCGCUCUGUCACCCAGGCUGGAGUGAAGGCAUGUGAUCAUAGCUCACUGCAGCCUGGACCUCCUGGGCUCCAGUGAUCCUCCCAUCUCAGCCUCCUGAGAAAGCUGGGACUAUAGGCGUGCACCACCACGCCUGGCUAAUUUUUGUAUUUUUUGUAGAGAUGGGGUUUCACCAUGUUGUCCAGGCUGGUCUUGAACCCUUGGGUUCAACUGAUCCUCCUGCCUUGGCCUCCCAAACUGCUGAGAUUACAGUAAUUUAUGUUUAAGACUCUUUUAAAGUGUUCAUAUCUUAUGUUACAUUGUAUUUUUGUCAUUUCUCUAACUACUAAGAGAACUAAUCACAGGAUAAUCCCUCCCCACCUUCAUGGCUUAUAAUUAAAACAAACAAACAAACAAACAGGGAAAGAAAACAGAUAUGGUAGCAUUAUCUGUCCUGGGACAGCCUUAAGGAUCAACUCUGCCAGACUAAAUUGUUACAUACUUGAAGGUAGGGGUCAUGUUUUAAUUACUCUUUGCAAAGAACUAUAGCACCACAACACUGUACUCAAAAAGAGAACAAAGGCAUGAUGUAAUAUCGAAUUUAAAUGGAGUGAGAAAUUUGCUCAGCUUUCCACAGCCUAAAUCAGCUCCUCCCUGAUAUCCACUCAGCAGUGGAAAUUGGAAGCAUUCCUCCUCUAUCGCAAAGUACCAGGAAAAACCAAAGUAAGUACUUUCUUAAAGUUUGCUGUCUUUCUGGCUCACACUUUUGGGGACAAUUAAAAAAAUUAAAUAUUUUAGCCUAAAAGCUUUCCUUAAAAAUCUCCUGAAUGCUCCUAAACUGCAUGUAAAAAAAAGUAAACAGAUACUAAGAAUAUAUUGGCUGAGUGCAGUGACUCAUGCUUGUAAUCCCAGCACUCUGGGAGGCUGAGGCAGGAGGAUCACUGAAGCCUAGGAGUUCAAUGCUGUAGUGAGUUAUGAUGGUGCCAUUGCAUUCCAGCCCCAAUAACAGAGCAAGUCUCUGGAGAGAAAGAGAGAGAGAAAGAGGGAGGAGGAGGAAGAAAGAGAGAGAGAGAGAGAGAGAGCGAGCGAACACAAGCGCCAGUGCUUUUGAUAAACCUUACUAUGACAUAUCAUUACUGGUAAGAAAUGUCUACUGUGGCUGGGUGCAGUGGCUCACCCCUGUAAUACCAGCACUUUGGGGGCCAAGGCAGGCGGAUCACGAGGUCUGGAGAUUGAGACCAUCCUCGCCAACAUGGUGA
rnacentral:lncRNA from 1 species